rnacentral:rRNA from 1 species
CCUACGGGUGGCAGCAGUGAGGAAUAUUGGUCAAUGGCCGUAAGGCUGAACCAGCCAAGUCGCGUGAAGGACGAAGGAUCUAUGGUUUGUAAACUUCUUUUAUCGGGGAAUAAAAUUAUCCACGAGAGGCUAUUCGCAUGUACUUUAUGAAUAAGCAUCGGCUAACUCCGUGCCAGUAGCCGCGGUAAUACGGAGGAUGCGAGCGUUAUCCGGAUUUAUUGGGUUUAAAGGGUGCGUAGGUGGUUUUUUAAGUCAGCGGUGAAAUUUCGGGGUCAAACCUAAAAUUGCCGUUGAAACUGGUAGUCUUGAGAGUGUUUGAGGUAUGCGGAAUGCGUGGUGUAGCGGUGAAAUGCUUAGAUAUCACGCAGAACUCCGAUUGCGAAGGCAGCUUAC